AUUGAACGCUGGCGGCAGGCCUAACACAUGCAAGUCGAGCGGAUGAAGGGAGCUUGCUCCUGGAUUCAGCGGCGGACGGGUGAGUAAUGCCUAGGAAUCUGCCUGGUAGUGGGGGAUAACGUCCGGAAACGGGCGCUAAUACCGCAUACGUCCUGAGGGAGAAAGUGGGGGAUCUUCGGACCUCACGCUAUCAGAUGAGCCUAGGUCGGAUUAGCUAGUUGGUGGGGUAAAGGCCUACCAAGGCGACGAUCCGUAACUGGUCUGAGAGGAUGAUCAGUCACACUGGAACUGAGACACGGUCCAGAUUCCUACGGGAGGCAGCAGUGGGGAAUAUUGGACAAUGGGCGAAAGCCUGAUCCAGCCAUGCCGCGUGUGUGAAGAAGGUCUUCGGAUUGUAAAGCACUUUAAGUUGGGAGGAAGGGCAGUAAGUUAAUACCUUGCUGUUUUGACGUUACCAACAGAAUAAGCACCGGCUAAUUUCGUG
rnacentral:rRNA from 1 species